rnacentral:rRNA from 1 species
AGACCCGAAACCCGGUGAUCUAGCCAUGGGCAGGUUGAAGGUUGGGUAACACUAACUGGAGGACCGAACCGACUAAUGUUGAAAAAUUAGCGGAUGACCUGUGGCUGGGGGUGAAAGGCCAAUCAAACCGGGAGAUAGCUGGUUCUCCCCGAAAGCUAUUUAGGUAGCGCCUCGUGAAUUCAUCUCCGGGGGUAGAGCACUGUUUCGGCUAGGGGGCCAUCCCGGCUUACCAACCCGAUGCAAACUGCGAAUACCGGAGAAUGUUAUCACGGGAGACACACGGCGGGUGCUAACGUCCGUCGUGAAGAGGGAAACAACCCAGACCGCCAGCUAAGGUCCCAAAGUCAUGGUUAAGUGGGAAACGAUGUGGGAAGGCCCAGACAGCCAGGAUGUUGGCUUAGAAGCAGCCAUCAUUUAAAGAAAGCGUAAUAGCUCACUGGUCGAGUCGGCCUGCGCGGAAGAUGUAACGGGGCUAAACCAUGCACCGAAGCUGCGGCAGCGAACGUAUCACUUAAAGCGAUUCAGCGGGUUACGAUUGAC